CCUUCGUCCUCAAUUAAUGGGAUAGGGGAUUUCUAUCCCGUAAUCUUCUCUCUCCCUCACAACACGCCGUCUCUCCUCCUCUUGCCCCACCGACGCGAGAGCAGAUCGCCGCCACCGCCCACCGCUCCUCCUCUGCUGGCUGCUGCCCCAUGGACGCGAGCGUGGAUCGACGUCGCCGUUGUCCGCUCCUCUUCUGCUACUGCUCGGACGCGAACACAAAACUCAGUCGCCGCCGUCCGCUCCUCCUCGCCUCAAGGAUGCGAGCACAUGCCGCCGUCCGCCGGUUGCCGCUCUCCUCUGCCGCCUCAUGGAUGCAAGCGAGGGUCUCCGGCACCAUCGUCCGCUCCACCUCUGCUGCCCCACGGACAUGAGCGUGGGGCACCGUGGCCGCCUGCCGUUCUCCUCUGCUGACCCAGGUCCGUGCGACAGCCCCGUCGAUCCCCUUUGGGCGCAUUCCGUUCGUUUUGCUGCCGAUUUUCGUGGGGAGCAUAUGUUUGGGGGAGCGUUCGUCGGAUGCCUAUUCAGUGGCUCUGUUGCUGACGGAAUUGGUCUUUUCAGCUCUGUGCGCCACUCUUCAGCUCAUAAGAUCAGAAAACUUUUGGGUUAUACAGAGGAUACAAGAGGGUUGUUUCACAGCUGAUUCAGCAUCUUCUUCAAGGUUACAUCUCCCCUGUACUGAUUUACUAUCUUUUCAGUUCAUAUUUAUUAGUGGCCAAAGAUUCAUGCUUGCUCCCAAGUUCUGUUGAUAGAGAUGUAAGACUUUUUCUUUUGUUAACAUGAAUUUAGUUGAUUGUUAACAGAUUUGUCUGUAAGGUUUGAGGCCGCAUUUAACGGACUGAACAUUUUUUCUUUCUGAACUAUGAUCUUAUGGGAAGUAGCGAGAGUGCGGGACUAUGAUUUGGCUAUGGAGGCGUCACCUAACAAUUCUGCAUUCCAGAAUCACCUCGCUUCCCAUUUUUAGAUACGGAGCUCUACAACAGAAUUCCAGUUUGUUCCUCUAUCAUUUAUGUUACAACUUGUUGUUGAUUCUUUUACAUUUCUUUGGUAACUUUAAGUGAAAGGCAACCUACAAUCGAGCAGCGAUUUACCAAAGAGCAGUUUAGAGUUUUCUCUUUCUUUUGUACAUUGUUGUUGUGCAUAAUUUGUUCUGUUAUAGAGCUUUGUUAGAAAAGCUGAUUUAACGCAUUGUUCGGCUUUAGAUUACUGCACCUUAUGGUUGUGAGUGGAUUUAAGAGUUAACAUGAUACAAUAUCUUUUUGAAAGAUGAUAGAUUAUCUCGACACAAGCAGGUGUCAUUUUUUGGCAGCAUCCACGAUUUCAGUGCACAUGAUUUACUACUGAAAUACUCAUGACUUACUAUUUGGCUAUACAUGUUUUACAGUAUUUUCUAGGUGUACUGAAAUUUCUGAAAUGGAGUUGUAUAUCUUGUUUCUUAAAUUUGCAUGAACCAGGAUUGUAUGGGAAUUAGUGUCGGUAUAUGCACAAGUUGCUGUAUGUCCGGUUGUAAAUGGGCUACAAAGAAAUCAGCUUUAAGAUCCUUUAGAACUGACAUGCAGACCAUGUUACGUUUUUGUCAUACAUAUAGUUGUAAGCUUUUCAUUUGGUCUCAAAUUUAAAUGAAGCUGACCAUUUUCAGUCCUUUUUUUGGGGUUGUCCACACAGGACAUACAGUACACGAGUCAUACAUACAGUUUUGAAUCUUCUACUAGCUGGAAAAAUUGAAUGAAUGCUAAUUGGUUUUCAGUCGAUCGUGAAAUAGAUAUAUUCCCUGAUGAAACUGAAACCUUUACCCUUUCUAAAUGUAAACUUGUGCCAUUAAUGCCGCAUUGUUCUUUGGGUCUGUUUUUUCUCACAAACUCAUAACAUGCUAGGAGAAGAAUCAUGUAGGCAGAUGAAUGUAAAUUAUGAAGCAUCUUAGCACCGUUUUUGUAUUUAUUAGUGUCCCUGAAAGCUUAUGCAUCUUACAACCACACCUGACACCACCUACCUUAUCUCUCGUGUUCCUCAUGCCGCCACCUUUCUCUAUGGCCUCCUCCCCACUGCCGGCCGCCGAGUCAACAUCAUCUUCGGGCCGCCCAUCGGCUGCAUCUUUUCCAUGGCUGUAGCCUAUCAAAAAUAGGAGCAAUCCCAUUGUUGGUACAGAGCCUGAAGAUUCUUUGCCUUUGUUUGAACUGGUUCAGUUUUGCCUUUCAUAUGCUAUCUAUUUGAUUGGUCCAUGUAGAUUUAGGCAACAUGAGACGAGCCGAUGAUAUAUAAUGGUAGAUACGAUGCUCUAUGCUGCAAGUGUUUGAUGUCUUGGUGAUGGCAGGUUUUGCGAGUAAUUGACAUGUUUUUUUAGUAGAGGAUAAUUAGAGAUAUAAAGUUCCAACUCAGAUGUUGGGAAAUUUAAAAGUGGACCCUUUGAUUUUGAGUAAUUCUAAGAGAAUACAUCUUAUCGUUCAGGUAUCCUUUUUUUAGUAAUGCUAAGAGCAUACAUGAUACAUCUCAUCAUCCUUGAUAGCUGAUAGCCGAUGACAUGAGCGAGUGGGGGACAGGCCCCUUUAGCUACUGCAAUAAGGUAGUGCAUACUGUUGGAACCCCUUUCACGAUUCCCACUCCACCGGCUGCACCGAGUCUUCAGGAGCGAUCACCAUGUACGGCGCCCGCCCGCCUGCCUCCGCAACGGCCGUAGCACUCCGCACGAUCCUCAUGCUUAUCAUGAUUAGAUAGGGCUCAAUCGUUGGACAUGCAUGUAUAUAAACCCAUGUAAUCGCUCAAUGUGAAUACACGAGAGUUCUGACUCACUUGUCUUCUCAUACAAAUGGGUUACUCAUAUUCCAUUGUUAGACGAGCUAGCCGCAAGAAGUAGGUUCAGCAUUCGGCUCCAUUUGAUUUACAUUCAGAUCAUCUUGCUGCAACACCAUUACUUUUCUUGAUAGCAAACAACUAUUUUCAGUAAUCAUAUAUAUAGCUUGUAUUUGGUUUGUUUAUUUUAUUAUACCAUAGAUAUCAUGAUAAACUUUUAAUCGCUUAAUGAGAAUGUUUUGUUCACUCAAAAUUGAGUGCCUGAUAGUCUGAUUAGAUUGUGUAUGUGAAAAAUAUGCAACAGGAAUAUGCAGCUGCACCUAAAAAAUGACAUUGUUUCCUUGGGGUGUAGACAAAAUAUACAGCUGCACUUUACCACAAGAUGGUUACUAUGGUACUUUCUGGGGAUGUGUAUAGAGGAAUCCCCCAUGUAUUUAGGUUGUUUGCAUAACUAUUACUCUUCUCUAAUUUCUGACUUGGUGAUAAUUCAAAACAUACAUUCUGUUUUGAAAUAAAAAGAUAGGACCAAAAUUGUGUUGU